GGAGUUAGCCGGUGCUUCUUCUGUGAGUGAUGUCCUUCCUGCCGGCUAUUAACCCGCAGGCCUUCUUCCUCACUGAAAGUGCUUUACAACCCGAAGGCCUUCUUCACACACGCGGCAUGGCUGGAUCAGGGUUGCCCCCAUUGUCCAAUAUUCCCCACUGCUGCCUCCCGUAGGAGUCUGGGCCGUGUCUCAGUCCCAGUGUGGCUGAUCAUCCUCUCAGACCAGCUACGGAUCGUCGCCUUGGUGAGCCGUUACCUCACCAACCAGCUAAUCCGACAUAGGCUCAUCCGAUAGCGCGAGGCCCGAAGGUCCCCCGCUUUCCCCCGUAGGGCGUAUGCGGUAUUAGCCUGGGUUUCCCCAGGUUAUCCCCCACUACCGGGCAGAUUCCUAUGCAUUACUCACCCGUCCGCCGCUCGCCACCAGGGAGCAAGCUCCCCGUGCUGCCGCUCGACUUGCAUGUGUUAGGCCUGCCGCCAGCGUUCAAUCUGAGCCANNACAUAACUNANNGACGGCGGCGCGACGACGGCGACAG
rnacentral:rRNA from 1 species